rnacentral:rRNA from 1 species
UACGAAGGGGGCUAGCGUUGUUCGGAAUUACUGGGCGUAAAGCGUGCGUAGGCGGUUUGUUAAGUCUGAUGUGAAAGCCCUGGGCUCAACCUGGGAAUGGCAUUGGAUACUGGCAACCUAGAAUGUGGUAGAGGGUGGCGGAAUUCCCGGUGUAGCAGUGAAAUGCGUAGAUAUCGGGAGGAACAUCCGUGGCGAAGGCGGCCACCUGGACCAACAUUGACGCUGAGGCACGAAAGCGUGGGGAGCAAACAGG